rnacentral:SRP_RNA from 1 species
CCGUGCAGCCGGGGAGUCAGCGGUGCCCUGUACCUGCAAUCCGCUAUAGCAGGGGUGAUGUCAAUCCGAGGCUAUCUUCUUGUAAGGCUGCCCUUUAUAAGUGGCGAUGACGAUUGGGUCUUACGCAACAGGAACUUGUGAACCGUGUCAGGUCCGGAAGGAAGCAGCACUAAACAAGUCCCCCUGUGUGCCGUGAGGGUGCCUGAUUUGAGUUAACUGUAAAGGUAACGCUUGUGAGAGUUAGUCGAAGUGCGGCGCACGG